GCUCGAAAAUGAGGAUAAUCUACUUAUAUGUGAACCUAGUAUAACUCCGGUUGAAAAAUUUUACCAUGUCAAUCAAAAGUCCCGUGGGGAAGCCAAAUACUACAUUUACAUUGAGCCCAAAUGCGUCAUGCCCUAAACAGAAUUGCAGUGGAUAGCGGGUUACGGGCUGACGGGUGGCGAACAGCUGACCCAUUCCAGGAGGGAAAAUUCGGACGGGUAAACACAAUUGCGACGGAACGGUUUUUAGUUGACAUUUUGUGGUUUAACAAUAAAAUCAAUUUUGUAGUACAAUCUUUUCGUUUGCUUUUCGUUUGUGUGUACGUGCAAAAAUGUCCAAUAUUCAAAGACUUUUGCGGAUAAUUAAAAUUAUGUACAUAAUGAGCACAAUGUACGAGAUGUACAUGGAGGCGAGCAAGUGGUUGAAAAGGAGGUGGUGGGUGCGUCCUGCGAACCUCACCAGCAAUGAGUUUGGGUUCCAUGGAACAUGUUUUCAACAACUGAAGCUGGAGGACGAGGAGCACUUUUUCAAAGCCACUAGGAUGAGUUUUCCCAAAUUUCAAACUCUUUUGACUUUGAUAAACGAGAGACUCGCGCGUUUUUCGAGAAGAGCGCCAAUAAAUGAAGAAACUCGCUUGGCACUGACACUGAUGUAAAAAAAUUUAGUCACAAAUGCAACGAAAUGGUUCAAUAACAAUAUGUCUCAGUUUAGCUACUUAACGCAGCCCACAAUAUCUCGCCUGGUCGCACAAAAUCGGGGUAUUGACAGUAAGGGAGACAAUUUACGAUACUUGCAAUGCCUUAUGUACAGAACUGCCUGACGUCUACGUCGCUCAGCCCAAUGAGCAUGAAUGGAAAAAAAUAUCAGACAGGUUUUACUUGAAAACGGGAAUGUCAAAUUGUGUUGGAGCGGUCGAUGGCAAGCAUAUAAAAAUAGUUUGUCCAGCACGCAGCGGAUCGUUGUUUUACAAUUAUAAAAAAACGUAUAGUAUCGUUCUAAUGGCAGCCUGCGAUUCCAACUACACGUUUACUUGUGUGGACGUGGGUGCGAUGGGAAGCGAGAGUGAUGGUGGAAUUUUUUCACGUAGUGCAUUUGGAAAAUUGAUUUUAAGAGGAUACCUUAAUAUUCCGCCAGAUAAUGCAAUUCCUGGAACAGAAACAACUUUCCAAUAUUAUUUCGUGGGAGAUAAUGCAUUCCCACUGAAGCACAACUUGAUGCGUCCAUAUCCUGGCCGGAACUUAUCAGCUAUAAAGGACAACUUCAACAAAAAAUUAUCUCGUCCUCGUGUGCAUAUUGAAAAUUCAUUUGGAAUUUUGAUUAGCAGGUGGAGAGUUCUACACACGAAUAUUCACGGAGCACCAAACAAUGUGGAUAAAAUCGUGUUAGCGACAAUUGUACUGCAUAAUUAUCUAAUGCUCGAUAGGGAGAGUGGAUAUUUCAAUGACGAGCUCGUGGACCACCUGGAAAAUGGUGUUCAUGUGCCAGGGACUUGGAGGGAAUCCCACGCUGGGCUGCCUUCCUGCAGAAUCGCACUAGCGAAUCGGUCAUGUGCAGAUGCAUUUAGGAGCAGAGACGCACUGGCCGAUAUACUGUUUAAUAAUUGAGGACGCCGCAUCUGAUUUGUUGCUAAACGUGUCUUCAGUGUUGGAACUUUUACCACUGUGCUAUAAAUUUUAUUAAAAUUCUAUUUUAUUUCUUUUCUAUUUGCUUUAAAAUUUAAUUUAACUUCAAAUUCAAUUUAUUACAUAUUCAUCAACUUCUGGACAAAUAAAUAUGUAAUUACAGCCGGUGAUUUUGAGAUAACUUUUAUUUUGACCGUAUCACAUGGAAGAAAGUGCAUAAUACGGUCAACAAAAAAAUAUUUGGAGAAAAUUAAUGACCAUUAUC